rnacentral:siRNA from 1 species
GAAACCAGGAGUGACAUUGUCUGA